AUGACCAUCCUCGCAGUUUAUGUUAAUGACAUCAUUAUCGUCGACGAAGAUGACGUAGAGAUGGCAAGGUUAAGGGGGUGCCUGAGUAAGGCAUUUGAAGUUAAAGAUCUUGGCCGACUCAAGUACUUCCUUGAUAUAGAAGUGGCAAGGUCUGAAAAAGGAAUAGCUCUGAAUAGCUCUUUCUCAAAGUAUACCCUGGACCUCAUCUAUGAUGUUGGCAUGUUGGGUUGUCGAGCUGCUUCAACCCCAAUUGAUCAAAACCAUAAAAUGUCUUCUCGGGCUCUUGUAGCUAUGGAUUAUUGCCUUACGUAUCCGCUCCAUGUGUUGUUAACCACUUGUUUUCUUCAGCAUGAACAUCAUCUUGGUCGUCCUAUUAACCAAAAUCUAGGUAGCCUUUUGAUGGAUUUCCUGUAUUUUUUUUGGGAAUGUGUUUGA
rnacentral:rRNA from 1 species